AGCGAACGCUGGCGGCAGGCUUAACACAUGCAAGUCGAACGGGCAUAGCAAUAUGUCAGUGGCAGACGGGUGAGUAACGCGUGGGAACAUACCUCUUGGUUCGGAACAACACAGGGAAACUUGUGCCAAUACCGGAUAAGCCCUUACGGGAAGAAUUAUUGCCGAGAGAUUGGCCCGCGUCUGAUUAGCUAGUUGGUGAGGUAAGAGCUCACCAAGGCGACGAUCAGUAGCUGGUC
rnacentral:rRNA from 1 species